rnacentral:rRNA from 1 species
CCCCUACGUUUAGUUGCUAACGCGUGAAGGCGAGCACUCUAGACGAAUGCCGUUGAACAAAACGGAGGAAGGGUGGGAUGACGUCAAAUCAUCAUGCCCCUUAUGUUCUGGGCUACACACGUGCUACAAUGGCCGGUACAGACGGACGCAAAGCCGCGAGGUGGAGCAAAUCCUAAAAAGCCGGUCUCAGUUCGGAUUGCAGGCUGCAAUUCGCCUGCAUGAAGUCGGAAUCGCUAGUAAUCGCAGGUCAGCAUACUGCGGUGAAUACGUUCCCGGGCCUU